rnacentral:rRNA from 1 species
CCCAGCAGUCAUAUCACCCUGCAAUUCACAACUGGCAGUCCACUGAAGGUAAGCAGGUGUGAGCCUGGUCAGUACCUGGAUGGGAGACCUCCUGGGAAAAACUAAGGUUGCUGCUGGAA